UACGGGAGUGGCAAGCGUUAUCCGGAAUUAUUGGGCGUAAAGCGUCCGCAGGCGGUCUUGUAAGUCUGUUGUUAAAGCGUGGAGCUUAACUCCAUUUCAGCAAUGGAAACUGUAAGACUAGAGUGUGGUAGGGGCAGAGGGAAUUCCCGGUGUAGCGGUGAAAUGCGUAGAUAUCGGGAAGAACACCAGUGGCGAAGGCGCUCUGCUGGGCCAUAACUGACGCUCAUGGACGAAAGCCAGGGGAGCGAAAGGGAUUAGAUACCCCUGUAGUCCUGGCCGUAAACGAUGAACACUAGGUGUCGGGGGAAUCGACCCCCUCGGUGUCGUAGCCAACGCGUUAAGUGUUCCGCCUGGGGAGUACGCACGCAAGUGUGAAACUCAAAGGAAUUGACGGGGGCCCGCACAAGCGGUGGAGUAUGUGGUUUAAUUCGAUGCAACGCGAAGAACCUUACCAGGGUUUGACAUCCUGCGAAUCUCUUGGAAACGAGAGAGUGCCUUCGGGAACGCAGUGACAGGUGGUGCAUGGCUGUCGUCAGCUCGUGUCGUGAGAUGUUGGGUUAAGUCCCGCAACGAGCGCGACCCACGUCGUUAGUUGCCAGCAUUUAGUUGGGCACUCUAGCGAGACCGCCGGUGAUAAACCGGAGGAAGGUGUGGAUGACGUCAAGUCAUCAUGCCCCUUACAUCCUGGGCUACACACGUACUACAAUGCUACGGACAAAGGGCAGCAAACUCGCGAGAGCUAGCAAAUCCCAUAAACCGUGGCUCAGUUCAGAUCGUAGGCUGCAACUCGCCUACGUGAAGGAGGAAUCGCUAGUAAUCGCAGGUCAGCAUACUGCGGUGAAUACGUUCCCGGGCCU
rnacentral:rRNA from 1 species